UACGAAGGGUGCAAACGUUGCUCGGAAUCAUUGGGCGUAAAGCGCACGUAGGCGGCUUCGCAAGUCGGAUGUGAAAUCCCUCGGCUCAACCGAGGACGUGCAUACGAAACUGCGAAGCUUGAGUACUGAAGAGGAUCGCGGAAUUCCCGGUGUAGAGGUGAAAUUCGUAGAUAUCGGGAGGAACACCAGUGGCGAAGGCGGCGAUCUGGGCAGAUACUGACGCUGAGACGCGAAAAGCGUGGGGAGCAAACAGG
rnacentral:rRNA from 1 species